AACGAACGCUGGCGGCAUGCCUAACACAUGCAAGUCGAACGAGACCUUCGGGUCUAUUGGCGCCCGGGUGCGUCACGCGUGGGAACCGUCCCUUAUGUUCGGAAUACCUCUCCGAAAGGGGUGCUAAUGCCGGAUAAUUUCUUCUGACCAAAGAUAUAUCGCCUUGGGAUGUGCCCGCGUUGGAUUAGCUUGUUGGUAGGGUAAAAGCCUACCAAGGCGACGAUCCAUAGCUGGGCUGAGAGGAUGAUCAGCGACACUGGGACUGAGAAGCGGCCCAGAAUCUUACGCGAGGGAGGAGAGGGGAAUCGUGCAAAACGGGGGAAGGGAUGAACCAGUACUGCUGGGUGAGCGAUGUUGGUAGGAGGGUAGUAAAGCUCUUUUACCCGGGAUGAUAAUGACGGUACCGGAAGAAUAAGCUCCGGCUAACUCCGUG
rnacentral:rRNA from 1 species